rnacentral:rRNA from 1 species
UGAGGAAUAUUGGGCAAUGCCCGCAAGGGUGACCCAGCAACGCCGCGUGGAGGAUGAAUGUCGUAAGAUUGUAAACUCCUGUUAGAGGGGAAGAAUAGUACCGGUUGGACCGGUAUAUGACUGUACCCUCAGAGAAAGCCCCGGCUAACUCCGUGCCAGCAGCCGCGGUAAUACGGAGGGUGCAAGCGUUAUCCGGAUUCACUGGGUUUAAAGGGUGCGUAGGUGGGUAUGUAAGUCAGUGGUGAAAUCCCCGAGCUUAACUUGGGAACUGCCAUUGAUACUAUAUAUCUUGAAUACCGUAGAGGUCAGCGGAAUAUGUCAUGUAGCGGUGAAAUGCUUAGAUAUGACAUGGAACACCAAUUGCGAAGGCAGCUUACUAUGCGGUGAUUGACACUGAGGCACGAAAGCGUGGGUAGCAAACA